rnacentral:rRNA from 1 species
UACGGAAGGCAGCAGUGGGGAAUAUUGCACAAUGGGCGAAAGCCUGAUGCAGCUAUGCCGCGUGUAUGAAGAAGGCCUUAGGGUUGUAAAGUACUUUCAUCGGGGAGGAAAAAACAAAACUAAUAAUUUUAUUUCUUGACGUUACCCGAAAAAGAAGCACCGGCUAACUCCGUGCCAGCAGCCGCGGUAAUACGGAGGGUGCUAGCGUUAAUCAGAAUUAUUGGGCGUAAAGAGCACGUAGGUGGUUUUUUUAAGUCAGAUGUGAAAUCCCUGGGCUUAACCUGGAACUGCAUUUUGAAACUGAAAUACUAGAGUAUCGUAGAGGGAGGUAGAAUUCUAGGUGUAGCGGUGAAAUGCGUAGAUAUCUGGAGGAAUACCUGUGGCGAAAGCGGCCUCCUAAACGAAUACUGACACUGAGGUGCGAAAGCGUGGGGAGCAAACAGGGAUUAGAUACC